UAUCUGUAGGUGAACCUGCAGAUGGAUCAUUUCGAUGAAAACCUUUUUUCUGAGGUGUGGCUCGCACCUGUCUAACUAAACUUGAGCUACCCAAUUUCAACACGGUUGCAUCGGUUGGCUGUCAAACAGUGCCUCGGCGCUGGGAGGCGGUCGACACACAACACAAACACUUUUGAUGACUUAGGAUUUUGAAUGAAGUUCAUUUUUACGAUGGAACCGACUGGUAAUGCGGUCGUCUAAAUCUAAAAAACAACUUUUGGCAACGGAUCUCUUGGUUCUC
rnacentral:misc_RNA from 1 species